CAUGGGGGGUCCUCCCAGAGCCCUUGGCUCUCUUGGGCCAGUGGCCCCUCUUCUGUGGCAGCCUCCCUCUAGUUGCCCCUAUGAGAGGACCUCUUUUCCUGGCUGGACCCCUGCCUGCUCCCUCCAGUUCACCAGCCCCUAAUCAGGGUGCAAUGCCUCUCAAGAGGUAAAGGAAAGUUCUGUGAGAGAAGGGAAGGAGGGGUGAAGACCAGUUCUGUGUUCUCCAGCUUCCAGUCACAUCUCAUUGGCACUAGAGAUAUGGAGAUGGAAGAAGAGAGAGUCAGUGUCCUCAGGGUCGAGGUGAAGAAGACAGAUGAUGUGCCAGUGUGAUGUGAUCAAGGCCAGCCAAAAUGACAACAUGGGAUGAAGGUAUGAUGAUGGCCCCCAAGGAACCUGCCCAGGCUGCUGUGGGAGCACCACAUCUUAGAAGCAGACUCAAGUCCAUCUGGGAAGAAUUGCCUCGAGCCAUUUCAGGCAGAGGGUUGUCUAUACUUUCAAAGUUUUCGAAGGAGUGGAUGAACCCUGAAGUCCUCCUCCGGUCUCAGCUGAGCCCUCCUGAUAUUUAAAGACAGGACUGAGAGACUCCUCAGCCACGACCAUGUGUGUCAGUCAUCUUGAUUCUGGGACACUGCACAGCCACAGCAGCCGCUUGGCUGGAAGUGAAGGUCAAGGCCACCAGGCAUCCCGUGGCCGAACCUGGCUCCUUCUCUUGGCUCCCAGCAGUCUCAUUUCCCCCGCGGGAAGGGCUAUUUAUAGAACAGAAAGAGCAGUUGCAGCCACACUUUACCCCACGAGCUCAACCCUCUGUGCCUUAGAGGGAAAACUUCCCUGCGGGUGACACCUGUGCACUGGCAAGACUUACUUGGGAGACAGAUUUAUAAUAAACAGCCUUAUUUUAUAGAGCCCCAAAUAUUUGCACAAAAAUGAGCCCUUGGUAUAACUUGCUCCAUUUAUCUCCCUGCUGUCAUAGGGUAUAUCUCUCUGUUUUAUUACUUUAUUUGCCAGUUCCUCCAGCUUCUGCGCUCACCCCUCCUCUUCAUUUCCACUGCAGUUGUCACUCUGGUGGGGGGGCCCCGUCUCUCCUCCCUGUCACGCUUCUCCCUCUGCCUGCUAGUGUUCCAUUCCCUCCAGCUCACACAGGGGACUUGGCCUCCCUAGGGUCCCCCUCCAUUCCCCCUCAGGAUUCUAGGGAGCAGCAGGAAUGUGUCCCUGGGGAAGGACCCUCUUCCAAAUGCCCCCCAGUCACCCCCGAGGCCCGGCUUCCUUUUCAGCACUCUGGACAGCGCUCCUGGAGGCUGUUGCUUUAAGAGACUUGGCCUUCGCCUUGCAGUCCUGGGCUGACCGGUUCGGAGGCAUUUAGGAUGCCUCCCUGCCUCAUCUCUUAGCAUUUCUAACAGUAUAAGGUAAACCCUGAGUGGUUUCUUAACCUCCACGACUACCCAAGACGUGGGCUCAAGAACAGAGUGAGCAGCGUAUGAAAAAAAGAAGUGAUUUUAAUUUCAAAGUUCUGCUGACAUUCAUCAAGUGCUCUCAAGGUUUACAUAAACAGAACGCCCUGCUUGAAAUAUCACUUUGAAUUCCGUUUGUGCAAUGGCACCUCUAAUAGGCUGCUGUUUUGGUUUCUCUCAGCAAUGUGAGCCUUUGUGUUUUAAUAUUCAGAGGCACAAGGAACAGGAAAAUUAUAGCUGGGGAAGCCCAGGCUGGGUUCUUCAUCAUCCAAGUUAAAUUUGGCUGAAUGGAGGAAAAACAUCCUUUUAAAAGGGUGGUAAAUGGGAAUAAUAAUCUCUUACAUUUACAAAACACUGAGUAUUUUCAAAGCUCUCUCAUAUUCAUUAUCUUGUUAGGUUUUCACAGAAAUCCUGUAUAAAACAUUCCACAAAGAGCUAUUGUAGGUGCUGGAUGUGAAUGGCAGGCCUGAGGAGGCCUUCUCAGCAAAUGGAGAAACUGAGGCUGGGGGAGGGUGAGUGACUGGCUUAAGGUCACUCCAUGGUGGCCAAGCCAGGGAGAGCUGGCCAAAGCCAGGAGGUGGCCAUGCCAGCCAUCCGUCUUGCAGGCUGCCUCCUCCCUGGUACCUCCCCCAUGGCCCCAAAGUGACCUUUGUCUCUUCUCUCAUGGAACACACAUCCUCCAAACGAAGUGGCCACAAAACCCCCUCACCUGGACUUCUACCCUUGUAGGAGAAUUAAAGCCCAAAGCAAAAAGAGAGAAUCUGUACAAGUGGCAACAGUCUUCAUCUGCUGAGCAUUGGCUUUGCAUCAAGAAGCGUGCUGUACCCUUGACAUGCACUAUUUCAUUUGACCCUCUUAACAGCUCCGGGAAUGCUUUUAGUCCCAUUUUAUGGCCAAGAAAACUGAUGUUCAGAAGAUUCGAGCUAAUCAGUGUCACAGCUGCAGCCACACUCAAGCAGCCUGCUCCAAAGCCCGAGCUGCCUGUCACUAUGCCAUAUAUAUACUUCCUGUUUGUCUCCAAGGACAGUUUUUAGCAUCAGUUGGAGGGAGGGACUGGUGGGGUAUGAGGCCUGCAUUGCCCUUCUUGCCAGCGGCUAGGUUCUUUGCCUCCUGUAGGCUGCUGCUAGGAUGGGGACCACAGCACUGUGGGUUCUGACAUCGCAGGUCCUAAGGCUGCCCCUCUGCCUGGCACUGACCUUGCCCUUUAAGAUGGAAGUCACCAGACUGCAACUGAUGCAUGGCCAGGGCAUUCGUGCAACAUUCCAAUCACUUCAGCAAACACGUCGUAUGGAUGAAUACACACAUGAACGAAUGAGUGAAUGAAUGAAGGAAGGGAAGAGAAAAAGGGUCUCUUUGUAGGUGUGUGGAGUGGGGCUCUGCAGCAGGAAGAAGCAGCGGUUGGGAAAUGUAACACCUGCUGUGGCUCAAAGCCCUGGUUCUGAACAGGAGACCCCUGUACCCUCCCCCCAGCAGUAUCUGAUGGGCAAGGGCCCUGAUGGAGGUUAAGUGGAUGCAGAUGGAGCCAGGGCUUUCAG
rnacentral:lncRNA from 10 species